rnacentral:rRNA from 1 species
GACGAAGGACCCGAGCGUUAUCCGGAUUUAUUGGGUUUAAAGGGUGCGUAGGCGGCUUGAUAAGUCAGUGGUGAAAGCCUGCAGCUUAACUGCGGAAUUGCCAUUGAUACUGUCGAGCUUGAAUAUGGUUGAAGUGGGCGGAAUAUGACAUGUAGCGGUGAAAUGCUUAGAUAUGUCAUAGAACACCGAUUGCGAAGGCAGCUCACUAAGCCAUUAUUGACGCUGAGGCACGAAAGCGUGGGGAUCAAACAGG